rnacentral:rRNA from 1 species
AUUGAACGCUGGCGGCAGGCCUAACACAUGCAAGUCGAGCGGUAGCAGUCCUUCGGGAGCUGACGAGCGGCGGACGGGUGAGGAAUGCUUGGGAAUCUGCCCGAUAGAGGGGGAUAACUACGGGAAACUGUAGCUAAUACCGCAUGAUCUCUUAGGAGCAAAGCGGGGGACCUUCGGGCCUCGCGCUAUCGGAUGAGCCCAAGUGGGAUUAGCUAGUUGGUAGGGUAAAGGCCUACCAAGGCGACGAUCUCUAACUGGUCUGAGAGGAUGAUCAGUCACACUGGAGCUGAGACACGGUCCAGACUCCUACGGGAGGCAGCAGUGGGGAAUAUUGGACAAUGGGGGCAACCCUGAUCCAGCCAUGCCGCGUGGGUGAAGAAGGGCUUCGGGUUGUAAAGCCCUUUUGGCGGGGAGGAAGGGUGUGAGAUGAAUAAUCUCGCACUUUGACGUUACCCGCAGAAUAAGCACCGGCAAACUCCGUGCCAGCCGCCGCCGUAAUAC